rnacentral:lncRNA from 1 species
GCCGGGAGGAGGAAGGGAAGGACCGCCGGCCGCUCCUCGGGACCCGCCCGCCCGCGCCCGAUCCCAUUUCGUCCCCUCUGAGGACCCUGAGCGAUCUGCCCGGGAUCCAGUCCUCCACGGGAGAAGCAGAACUGCCAAAGAGACAAGAUGCACUUUCUGUUGGAUGCUGUCACCGCGCUGAAU